GGCCAGGCCGUCCGGGUUCCAGCGCUAUCCCCCGAACCGAACAGCUCCUUCCUACGCGAUGCGCGGCCGUUUCGUCCUCGGCGAUUCGCUGCCUCGUCCGCGAUGCGCCGCCGCCGUCGGCAAAUUCCUGCUGCGCAUCUGACUCCCCGUCGGUGUCGUCCACCCGCCUGUUUGGCAGCAACUGGUCCCUGCAUUGGUUGCCUCUCCUGGUACGCAGGCAUGGACUCGAUCUCCAAAACGUAAAUGGUUAAUCUUGCAUCGAUUGCAAGCUGCUGCUGGUUUUAGAUUUUUCUUGUGGAGAAGCAGUUCUUGCUUGAUCCCUCGAAAUGAUUUAGUAGGGAUUUGGCUUCCAGGUAAGUCUAGAUUAAUCCUUGAACAUUUUAGUUUGAUGUGCAAGUCAAAGAUAUUUAAUUAGGUUGGCUGGUUGAAAUAAUAAUCAUUCUUCAUCUACGUUGUUCACUGCAUGUUGUUUUCAAAUUUCUUCAUUUAUGAUUUUAUUAUCUUUCAGGAUUGGUAGACUAGAACCAAAGAUUCCUCCAUAUGAUGGUACUACACAAUGUAAAGUUGCAGAAUCUAGAUUGCUUACAGUUAUAUAUAUAUGCACUCGACUGUAGUUGCAAGCCAGGACAUUUACUGAACGUACUGAUGAUCAUUUGUUUAGGCACGAAAAGACAUCCCCUUCUCUUGUGUUGCAAGGGAUUUGCAACUACCCAAACGGUGCAGCGAUGAAAUUGAACUGUUUUUUUAAACAAUCUUAUAAUCACCACUACACUUUCUCACCAAAACAGAAACCCAUCUUUUGAAUUUUUUCUCUUUGAUGUAGAUAUGUUUAUAUGUGAACAUCAAGAGUUUCGAAUUUUCUGCAAUAUACUCAGAGUAUAUUAUUCAUUUGCAUUUUAAUUGCAGGAGCUCUGCCAAACACUAUCACUAAUUAAGAGAAAGUUUAGAAGAAGAACUUGGACACAACAAGCCCAUACAGUAUCAAACCAAAAAACUAACUACUCUACAAAUAAAAAGCUAGCUACUUAACCGUCUCUUGACUUAAAACACUAUGCUUAUUUUAUUUAUCGUUCAUCUUAUUUCAUUCUUUAUUUUGGCAAAUCAUAGGUUGAGAUUCAGAGCAUAGUCCACAGGGCCUUCCAAGAAUGAAGUGUAAUGCCAAGAAUGUCAUGUAAUAAUCAUGUUUUAUGCCCUACCAAAAAGUUUCAUCAUGCCACUGUAGACUGUACUAAGUCGACAACUUUGUUCGAGCACUAUGAGGAGCUGAAGAUUAUGUUUUAAAUACAGUUCAUCUUUACAUAAUGGGGUUUCCAAAAUUAAUUUACCUUUGUUUGAUGCUUUUCCCAACUAAAGAGUGAAGACAUACGUUUUUUCCCUUACUGCACCUCUACCGCACGAUUAUCUCUUUGUUUACUACAUGCUUGAGAGCUUGACUCUUCCAACACAUUAUGUAGCCUUACAAUUGUUCUUUUAUAUUUACAUUUUGUUUUGUGAGAAAAGAACUUCAGAGAUGAAGUGCCCGAAAGAAGUUGGUCAUGGAUACAAGAGUAUAUAACAGAGUGGUGAUAACAUUGUGGUUGGUGAUCGUGACCACCGGUCAGUUUUGAAUAUAUAAGAUAGAAACCUUUGUACCAUUUUUUAAAAAGAAAACAUGUGCCUGAUGUUCUUGCUGCUAAUUUUCCAUAGUCCCUUCAGGCAAUAUUCUUCCCACUAAUUAUAUUUUAUAUGCCAAUGAAUAAGUGAACCAUAAUUUAUGUAUCUAUGUUAUGUUUCUUUGUGCUUCAUCUUUUGAUUGUUAAUAUUGAAAAGUAAAAGCAGAAUCAACACUAUGAUUUUGCUGCUGUGGUAUGUGUAGUGAUAUAUAUCAAAUAAUCCUUCCAUCAAGUGGAGGAGCUUAGUGUAGACCAUGGACUAGGGCCAUUUUGUCGUGGUUCUUGCAGCUGCCAAUGGGUGAUCUUCUUAGUACUCCCUCCGUCCCAAAAUACUUGUCGGAGAAAUGGAUAAAAAUAGAUGUAUCUACAACUAAAAUACAUCUAGAUACAUCUAUCUGUCCGACAAGUAUUUCCGGACGGAGGGAGUAGAUAAUAACUUUACUUUGUGCAUCUUCUUCCGAGCUUUAUGUUGUGUUGGUACAUGAUAGUUGAAUGUCAAACCUGUAGGUUUGAGAUGUUUGACAAAGCACUAAGUAGGGAGAAGAAGAACAAUAGUGGUUGCAAGAUGGAUGUCAGCAUUCAUGGUACAAUAUCGAUAAGUACAACGAUUAAUGUUUCAACCUUGGGUGGCGGUGCAGAUAUCUACUUCUGAGGUUUAAAAGGAAAAAUGCAAAGGAUUCAGGCUAUACACUAAAAACAGAAUCAGAGUUUAAAGAGGAGAGUUAGGAUUUGAAGAUAUCACAGCUCAAGAAGAACAAGCAAUGUCAUGUUGAGGUUUACUAUGAUUUGAACGUCCGGCCACCUAUGAUUUCUCUAUUGUGAUACCAUGUCAAGAAAAGGAGGAAAACACGUAUCAAUUGAUUCUUAGGAUGGUGGGAAAUUGUCAAGUACUAUUAUUUUGAGAAAACCAUAAAAUCUUUAUGCAAUCUUUUAGCUUUUAUGUGAAAUGAAGCAUGUAACUUGUACCUGAAAUGUGCCAGAACCAUGCUACGAGUUUGUGCAGUUGUUUUCAGGGUUAUGUUAUUAUGCAAAAUUUCAACGUGCUUGGUAGCUGCAUCG
rnacentral:rRNA from 1 species